rnacentral:rRNA from 1 species
UACGUAGGGCGCAAGCGUUGUCCGGAAUUAUUGGGCGUAAAGAGCUCGUAGGCGGCUUGUCACGUCGGGUGUGAAAGCCCGGGGCUUAACCCCGGGUCUGCAUUCGAUACGGGCAGGCUAGAGUGUGGUAGGGGAGAUCGGAAUUCCUGGUGUAGCGGUGAAAUGCGCAGAUAUCAGGAGGAACACCGGUGGCGAAGGCGGUUCUCUGGGCAUGUCCUGACGCUGAGGCACGAAAGCGUGGGGAGCAAACAGG